rnacentral:lncRNA from 1 species
UAGACUAAAAAAGUACAUUUCGAAUAAGUGUUAGUUCUCACUCAGGCUAGUUGGAAAUGUAAUUUUGGGGCUUGCUCCACCAAUUAUUAGCCUGGGGAGAGUUAUUUAACUGUCCUGUGCCUCAGGUCUUCAUCUGUAAAAUGUGAGGAUUGAAUAAGAAAGUAGAUAUAAAGACCUUCGAAUAGUGCCUUGCUCAUAGCAAACAUUCAACAAAUGUCAGCCAUUAUAUCAGUAUUAGAGAAGUUAAGACUGGACUUUGCACAUUUUGUCUGCUUCCUGUUUUUUAUAUGCAAUCUUUGUAAUUUAACAUAAAGAUCAAAAUCUCAUAUAUCAGUAUUUCGUAAAGAUUUUGUCACAGCGAGGAAUGACUGCAGAUAAUGAAUGCCACUUCUCCACGGAUAUGUUUCUACCUUUUAGCAGAAGUAGCAAAUAUGAUGUUUUAUUUGCCUUUCUCUUGGGUGCUUAAGUCUUAUAAGCUUUCAUUUAAUGUUGACUUCUAUUUACUCUUGCCUUUGUGAGAACCGUCAGUUAAGAAAUGACUGAAGGAAAUGGGAAAGGAGAGGUGGAGGGAAGUUAGAAUUUUCAAGACUUGCUAUAAUCCUAGGAAAGGCCCUGAAAUUUUGAAUUUAUUAGUGUUAUUUUUAAAAUUAGUCACCUCAUUUAGCUAGGCUGCUUUGCUAAAUCUCAGAACGAGCCAUUUUGCUUUUCUCAGCUUUGAUUUUUUUUAAUAAAAAUUGUAUAUAUUUAAAGUUUAAAACAUGGUUUUGAUAUUUUGAUAUAAAUAUACAUAACAAAAUGAUUACUACAGUAAAGCUAAUUAACAUAUUCAUCUCUCAUAGUUACCAUUUUUGUGUGUGUGUCUAUGUGGGGAUUGCAACUGAAAUCUACUCUUUUAGCAAAUUUCUUGGCUUUGUUUUAAGGCUUCCAUGAUGAUAGCAAGGGUUCGUUGUGGUGGUUGUUAUCAUCCUUAUUACUAUCCAUUUCUAUUCUUCUGGAUGAUUCACAGAACAGCAUUCACUGGGGCCAAUAAAAUGUAUCUCCCACUGAUAUGUUAUAAGGAGCUGCAUUGCCAUGGUUGA